GGCUGUCGUCAGCUCGUGUCGUGAGAUGUUGGGUUAAGUCCCGCAACGAGCGCAACCCCCGUCGCAUGUUGCCAGCAUUCAGUUGGGGACUCAUGCGAGACUGCCGGUGACAAACCGGAGGAAGGUGGGGAUGACGUCAAGUCAUCAUGCCCCUUAUGUUCAGGGCUACACACGUGCUACAUUGGCGCGUACAGAGGGCUGCGAUACCGCGAGGUGGAGCGAAUCCCUUAAAGCGCGUCUCGGUUCGGAUUGCAGGCUGAAACCCGCCUGCAUGAAGGCGGAGUUGCUAGUAAUCGCGGAUCAGCACUGCCGCGGUGAAUACGUUCCCGGGCCUUGUACACACCGCCCGUCACACCACGGGAGUGAGCAACACCCGAAGCCGGUGGCCUAACCCGCAAGGGAGGGAGCCGUCGACGGUGGGGCUCGUGACUGGGGUGAAGUCGUAACAAGGUAGCCGUAGCGGAAGCUGCGGCUGGAUCACCUCCUUUCUAGGGAGCACCUCACGGUGCCCCGGCCGGAGCGGUCGAUUUGCAUUCAGCGAAUCGCCAAACACCCGGCCGGGCCUAGCACGUCGACCGAACCUGGCCGGCACACCUCCUCUUUGAGGAGGUCAGACCCGACGCGCGCGACCUCUUGCGCGAGCGCGAAACGGUUGCCGGCAUGCUGUUGAGUUUUGAGAGACCGGCGCCAGGCCGGGCGCAGCCGCGAAGACGCGGCGACGCCAAUCGGCCGGCGUCAGCCCUCGACGGUCCUUGAAAACUGCACAGUAGCCACAUUUGCGAUCAUGGUAUGCACCGUGAUCGCACCAACGAAUAUCACCGAGUCGUUCGUAAGGACGACUCAGAUCACCGUCAAGAUAGUAAGGGCACAUGGUGGAUGCCUUGGCACUAAGAGUCGAUGAAGGGCGUGAACGGCUGCGAUAAGCCGCGGUAAGGCGCUGAACAGCCUUUGACCCGCGGAUUCCCGAAUGGGGAAACCCGG
rnacentral:sRNA from 1 species